rnacentral:rRNA from 1 species
GAUACGUCUUCAGAGUUUGAUCCUGGCUCAGGAUAAACGCUGACAGAAUGCUUAACACAUGCAAGUCUAUGAUGGUUAGCUAAGCCUAGCUUAGAAGAAGUCAUGGCGGACGGGUGAGUAACGUGUAAAGAACUUGCCCUCUAGACUGGGAUAACAGAUAGAAAUGUCUGAUAAUACCGGAUAUUAUUGUUACAUGGCAUCAUGUAGGAAUGAAAGGAUAAGAUUGCUAGAGGAGAGCUUUGCAUCCUAUUAGCUAGUUGGUAAGAUAGCGGCUUACCAAGGCGAUGAUAGGUAGCCGGCCUGAGAGGGUGGACGGCCACAAGGGGACUGAGAUACGGCCCUU